rnacentral:ncRNA from 1 species
GGGCAUACGGAUUAAAAGGGAAUCCGGUGAGAAUCCGGAACAGUCCCGCUGCUGUGAAACUCCUUUAACAUUCUAAUACUACUUUCGCCACUGGCUCAAGGUAGUCGGGAAGGCAUUAGGAUGGGAGCUAGUCAGAAGACCUGCCAUUCAUUUAAG